GUUUCGGCUCAUGUUUGGCGGAUUGGAGAACUACACUCUGGGGAUUGCCAUAAUCACAAUACUCCCUAGGGUAUAAUCACUAAGCUCUGCUAAGAGCUUGUUCCUGUUCCUGCUCUCUGGAAUUCGGGUGGAGACGGCGAGACCCCAACCAAGCUGCGGCGGUUCGUGGGGUCUGCAGUGGUUAUGGUGUUGGGCAGAGUGCUUAGAGUCCUUUGAAA